rnacentral:rRNA from 1 species
GACGAACGCUGGCGGCGUGCUUAACCCAUGCAAGUCGAGCGAGUGGCGGACGGGUGAGUAAUGUCUGGGAAACUGCCCGAUGGAGGGGGAUAACUACUGGAAACGGUAGCUAAUACCGCAUACCAUCGGAUGUGCCCAGAUGGGAUUGGCUAGUAGGUGGGGUAACGGCUCACCUAGGCGACGAUCCCUAACUGGUCUGAGAGGAUGACCAGCCACUCUGAAACUGAGACACGGUCCAGACUCCUACGUGAGGCAGCAGUGGGGAAUAUUGCACAAUGGGCGCAAGCCUGAUGCAGCCAGGCCGCGUGUAUGAAGAAGGCCUUCGGGUUGUAAAGUACGGUCAGCGAGGAGGCGUUACUCGCAGAAGAAGCACCGGCUAACUCCGUGCCAGCAGCCGCGGUAAUUC